rnacentral:lncRNA from 1 species
CAGAAUAAUACUAAUAGAGCUAACAUGAAAGUUCAGCAAGUUUGCCAGAUACAGUAUCGAACCAUAGAAGAACAUAAAGAAGUUAAAAGGGUGGAGAUGGAGCAUGGACGUUUCAGCUUCUGCAUGUUCAUUCACAGCUUGGCCCUGGAGCUGGGUGGCUGCUGCUGCAGUGGCCCAGGUGGUGACUUUGAGUUCUUGAGCUCUGCUUCUGCCUCCCCAAUCUUGUUAAUUAUGGCUUCCAACCCCCCUAGGAUCACAGGGUGGGAGACAGCAGGGAAAGGCGGCAUGAAAGUUCUUGCUCGGCUGACACCAUGGAGGACUAGAAGUGGGGCUCUUU